rnacentral:rRNA from 1 species
GACGAACGCUGGCGGCGUGCCUAAUACAUGCAAGUAGAACGCUGAAGGAGGAGCUUGCUUCUCUGGAUGAGUUGCGAACGGGUGAGUAACGCGUAGGUAACCUGCCUGGUAGCGGGGGAUAACUAUUGGAAACGAUAGCUAAUACCGCAUAAUAGUAGAUGUUGCAUGACAUUUGCUUAAAAGGUGCAAUUGCAUCACUACCAGAUGGACCUGCGUUGUAUUAGCUAGUUGGUGAGGUAACGGCUCACCAAGGCGACGAUACAUAGCCGACCUGAGAGGGUGAUCGGCCACACUGGGACUGAGACACGGCCCAGACUCCUACGGGAGGCAGCAGUAGGGAAUCUUCGGCAAUGGACGGAAGUCUGACCGAGCAACGCCGCGUGAGUGAAGAAGGUUUUCGGAUCGUAAAGCUCUGUUGUAAGAGAAGAACGAGUGUGAGAGUGGAAAGUUCACACUGUGACGGUACCUUACCAGAAAGGGACGGCUAACUACGUG